rnacentral:rRNA from 1 species
GAUGAACGCUGGCGGCGUGCCUAAUACAUGCAAGUCGAGCGAACGGACGAGAAGCUUGCUUCUCUGAUGUUAGCGGCGGACGGGUGAGUAACGCGUGGAUAACCUACCUAUAAGACUGGGAUAACUUCGGGAAACCGUAGCUAAUACCGGAUAAUAUUUUGAACCGCAUGGUUCAAAAGUGAAAGACGGUCUUGCUGUCACUUAUAGAUGGAUCCGCGCUGCAUUAGCUAGUUGGUAAGGUAACGGCUUACCAAGGCAACGAUGCAUAGCCGACCUGAGAGGGUGAUCGGCCACACUGGAACUGAGACACGGUCCAGACUCCUACGGGAGGCAGCAGUAGGGAAUCUUCCGCAAUGGGCGAAAGCCUGACGGAGCAACGCCGCGUGAGUGAUGAAGGUCUUCGGAUCGUAAAACUCUGUUAUUAGGGAAGAACAUAUGUGUAAGUAACUGUGCACAUCCUGACGGUACCUAAUCAGAAAGCCACGGCUAACUACGUG